rnacentral:rRNA from 1 species
AUUGAACGCUGGCGGCAUGCCUUACACAUGCAAGUCGAACGGCAGCACGGGUGCUUGCACCUGGUGGCGAGUGGCGAACGGGUGAGUAAUACAUCGGAACAUGUCCUGUAGUGGGGGAUAGCCCGGCGAAAGCCGGAUUAAUACCGCAUACGAUCUACGGAUGAAAGCGGGGGACCUUCGGGCCUCGCGCUAUAGGGUUGGCCGAUGGCUGAUUAGCUAGUUGGUGGGGUAAAGGCCUACCAAGGCGACGAUCAGUAGCUGGUCUGAGAGGACGACCAGCCACACCGGGACUGAGACACGGCCCAGACUCCUACGGGAGGCAGCAGUGGGGAAUUUUGGACAAUGGGCGAAAGCCUGAUCCAGCAAUGCCGCGUGUGUGAAGAAGGCCUUCGGGUUGUAAAGCACUUUUGUCCGGAAAGAAAUCCUUGGCCCUAAUACGGUCGGGGGAUGACGGUACCGGAAGAAUAAGCACCGGCUAACUACGUG